rnacentral:lncRNA from 1 species
GAGCUGAGGCUUGACACUGUAAGAGGCCAGGAGAGUCCACUGGUGAAGGUUCAGCUUCAGUGUCAGUUGAUCAUCGAGGACUGAAAGGGAUGUGGCAAAGAAGUUGAGGCUUAGCACCUUGAAGAACAUCUAUGAGAGAUGACUAGUUAAAGUUCAGCCCAUGUGCACCAGAAGACAUCAUUAUUUUGGAUAGAUGCAAGUACCAUGGGGGUAACCACCAAGACCUUAAGAAGCAGUGGAGUGGAGUCAGCCUAGAAGAAAAGCUUUGUGUGCUACAGAGGGUAGAGCUGGAGAAAUGACACAAAAUUCUCCAGUCUUCUUUGGAGAGACCCAGAAGAUUGUGUUGAUCCCAGACUUAGGACAUUGAGUUAAUUAUACUGAAGAAGCCUAGUUUUGUUUGGCUCAGAUUAUGACUGUGCCCUGGUUCUUUCUUCUUAAAGAAGGUUCCAGUCCUGCUUGAGUCCUGUCCUGACAGCCUCUAUUGAUCAACUAUGUUCUGGAAGUGUAAGCAGGUAUUUAGUUCCAGUGCAUGGACCUUGUUUUGUCAUACCACAGUGUUGACUCAUCUCAAGCAUACAGUUCUACGGGAAUGACCUUUGGACUGCAGUUCUACAAUGUUGACCUUUCCUCUGCAGUUUCACGGUGAUGACUUUGGGUCUGCAUUUUUAAGACCUUGGGUCUAUUACAGCAAAGUGUUCACCACAGGU